rnacentral:lncRNA from 1 species
GACUCCGAAUUAGAGGACAAAACAGUCCGGAAGUGGGAAAAAGUUGCGGCGGUGGCUAUAAAUUGAUGGAAAUGGUGGGAAGAAACACAUGAAUUGGACUCUAACAAGACCUAACCAGUAACAAGAUCUCGACCAGGACACAAACUCAACACUACGGACUCUGAAACUGAAAUAUGCACAGGCUAUGGCGCGGAUGGGAUGUAGGACAUGAAAACAAUAUAGCAGUAGACUUAUGGGACGAACACAAGGACACUUGAAACUAAGGAUAGAUGUGAACCUAACGGUACGUCUGAAGCUUUGAUUAACACUUGAGGACAACAAGUGUGUCCCGAUCUUCCGAAAGGUUCUGGUAACUAUCGAUUUGGUGGAAACGAGACCCAAAUCAAUCCACCUUGCGAACAACGCGGUUUGAAACCCUGCAAUUCUUUUUAUUUUUUUGAUAUUUUUCUUUUACUUAGGAGCACUCAAGAAGUAACCACAGAAAAUUUGAGCUUAAAUAAGUGAAAGACGUGGUAUGUGGAAUUUUUUGAAGAUUGCGAAAAAUAUGAAAAUAAACUUUAGGAGGUGAAAACUCAAAAUUAGAGGCGAAUUUGGGGAUUCUAAAUUUGUCGAACCCACCAAUGGUGGGGAUAGACAGACCCAAAAAUUUUUUCUGAUUGAUUUUGAUUUAUGGAACGUCAAAAUCGGAGAUCGUAUGCGAAAGUUAUGGUUGUUUUAAGAACGGACUCAGAAUUAGAGGACAAAACGGUCCGGAAGUGGGAAAAUUUUGCGGUGGUGGCUAUAAAUUGAUGGAAACGGUGGGAAUAAACACACAAAUUGGACUCUAACAAGACCUAACCAGUAACAAGAUCUUGACCAGGACACAAACUCAACACUACGGACUCUGAACUGCAAUGGCUAUGGCGCGGAUGGGUUGUAGGACAUGAAAACAAUAUAGCACUAGACUUAUGGGACGAACACAAGGACACUCGAAACUAAGGAUAUAUGUGAACCUAACGGUACGUCUGAAGCUUUGAUUAACACUUGGGGAGAACAAGUGUGGCCCGAUCUUCCGAAUGGUUCUGGUAACUAUCGAUUUGGUGGAAACGAGACACAAAUCAAUCCAGCUUACGAACAACACGAUUCGAAACCCUACAAUUCUUUUUAUUUUUUGUUUGAUAUUUUUAUUUUACUUAGGAGCACUCAAGAAGUAAGCACAUGAAAUUUGGGCUUAAACAAGUGAAAGACGUGACCUGUGGAAACUUUUGAAAAUUGCGAAAAAUAUGAAAAAAACUUUUGGAGGUGAAACCUCAAACUUUAGAGUGGAAUUUGGGGAUUUUUAAUUUGUUGAACCUGCCUAUGGGGGGAUAGACAGACCCAAAAAAUUUUUCUGAUUGAUUUUGAUAUAUGGAACGUCAAAAUCGGAGUUCGUAUGCGAAAGUUAUGGCUGUUUUACGAAUGGACUCCGAAUUAUAGGACAAAACAGUCCGGAAGUGGGAAAAAUUUGCGGCGGUGGCUAUAAGUUGAUGGAAACGGUGGGAAGAAACAUACAAAUUGGACUCUAACAAGACCUAACCAGUAACAAGAUCUCGACCAGGACACAAACUCAACACUACGGACUCUGAAACUGAAAUAUGCAAAGGCUAUGGCGCGGAUGGGUUGUAGGACAUGAAAACAAUAUAGCACUAGACUUAUGGGACGAACACAAGGACACUCGAAACUAAGGGUAGAUGUGAACCUAACGGUACGUCUGAAGCUUUGAUUACCACUUGAGGAGAACAAGGCCCGAUCUUCCGAAAGGUUCUGGUAACUAUCGAUUUGGUGGAAACGAGACACAAAUCAAUCCAGUUUGCGAACAACACGAUUCGAAACCCUGCAAUUCUUUUUUUUUUGAUAUUUUUCUUUUACUUAGGAGCACUGAAGAAGUAACCACAUGAAAUUUGAGCUUAAACAAGUGAAGGACGUGGCCUGUGGAAUUUUUUGAAGAUUGCG